GGAUGGAUGUCUGAGCGGUUGAAAGAGUCGGUCUUGAAAACCGAAGUAUUGAUAAAUACCGGGGGUUCGAAUCCCUCUCCAUCCGC
rnacentral:tRNA from 1 species